rnacentral:rRNA from 1 species
AUGGAUUUUAGACAGUUGAUGUGGCUUUGCAGAGAAUUACCUGAGAUUGUUGAUGUUGGUCUUGAGGUCAAAUGGGGAUAUGAAAUUGAUAUGAGGCUGUUGUUUAGUAAGAUAUUUGAUUCUUGUCUUGGGGAUAUUUGGUGUAAAUGUUGUGAUUAUAUCGUGGAGUGGAUGGAUGAUGCAGUAACUAGCAUUCACAUGAGGCUGCAGUUAGGUGUCACAAUUGUUGGAGUUGGUCAAGUAGACUUUUUUUUUUUCUCGAGGUACAUUGGCUGGCUAUUUGGGGAACAUGAUGAGGUGCUCUUUGGGGAACAUGAUGACAGAAUUUCAGCAUGGAUCAAGAAGUUGUUUUGGUGUUAUAUAAGAGAUUGGUUCUGGUUGGUAACAUUUUUAGGCUUUUGUGUUUGUGGUAUGUGA